rnacentral:rRNA from 1 species
CCCGCUGAACUUAAGCAUAUCAAUAAGCGGAGGAAAAGAAACUAACAAGGAUUCCCCUAGUAACUGCGAGUGAAGCGGGAAAAGCUCAAAUUUAAAAUCUGGUGGUCUUUGGCCAUCCGAGUUGUAAUUUAGAGAAGCGUCUUCCGCGCUGGACCGUGCACAAGUCUCCUGGAAUGGAGCGUCACAGAGGGUGAGAAUCCCGUCUUUGGCAUGGACACACCAGGGCUUUUGUGAUGCGCUCUCGAAGAGUCGAGUUGUUUGGGAAUGCAGCUCAAAAUGGGUGGUGAACUCCAUCUAAAGCUAAAUAUUGGCGAGAGACCGAUAGCGAACAAGUACCGUGAGGGAAAGAUGAAAAGCACUUUGGAAAGAGAGUGAAACAGUACGUGAAAUUGUUGAAAGGGAAACGCUUGAAGUCAGUCGCGUCGACCGAGACUCAGCCUCGCCUCGGCUUGGUGUACUUCUCGGCUGACGGGUCAGCAUCAAUUUCGCCUCUUGGAUAAUGGCGGGGGAAAUGUGACACCUUUACGGUGUGUUAUAGUCCCUCGUCGCAUGCAAGGGUCGGGAUUGAGGAACUCAGCACGCGCCUUCGGGUGUCGGGGCUUUUGCCCACGAUACGUGCUUAGGAUGUUGGCGUAAUGGCUUUAAACGACCCGUCUUGAAACACGG